GUCUACGGCCAUGCUACCCUGAACAAGCCCGAUCUCGUCUGAUUUCAGAAGCUAAGCAGGGUCGGGACUGGUUAGUACUUGGAUGGGAGACCACGUAGGAAGAACAGGUGCUGUAGGCA
rnacentral:rRNA from 1 species